rnacentral:tRNA from 1 species
GGCGCAAAAGCAUAGUGGCGAUGCUUUCGACUGCAGAUCGAAUGAUGUCAGGUCCAAUUCCUGAUUGUGCCU